rnacentral:rRNA from 1 species
GUAACACGUGGGUAACCUGCCUGUAAGACUGGGAUAACUCCGGGAAACCGGGGCUAAUACCGGAUGGUUGUUUGAACCGCAUGGUUCAAACAUAAAAGGUGGCUUCGGCUACCACUUACAGAUGGACCCGCGGCGCAUUAGCUAGUUGGUGAGGUAACGGCUCACCAAGGCGACGAUGCGUAGCCGACCUGAGAGGGUGAUCGGCCACACUGGGACUGAGACACGGCCCAGACUCCUACGGGAGGCAGCAGUAGGGAAUCUUCCGCAAUGGACGAAAGUCUGACGGAGCAACGCCGCGUGAGUGAUGAAGGUUUUCGGAUCGUAAAGCUCUGUUGUUAGGGAAGAACAAGUACCGUUCGAAUAGGGCGGUACCUUGACGGUACCUAACCAGAAAGCCACGGCUAACUACGUGCCAGCAGCCGCGGUAAUACGUAGGUGGCAAGCGUUGUCCGGAAUUAUUGGGCGUAAAGGGCUCGCAGGCGGUUUCUUAAGUCUGAUGUGAAAGCCCCCGGCUCAACCGGGGAGGGUCAUUGGAAACUGGGGAACUUGAGUGCAGAAGAGGAGAGUGGAAUUCCACGUGUAGCGGUGAAAUGCGUAGAGAUGUGGAGGAACACCAGUGGCGAAGGCGACUCUCUGGUCUGUAACUGACGCUGAGGAGCGAAAGCGUGGGGAGCGAACAGGAUUAGAUACCCUGGUAGUCCACGCCGUAAACGAUGAGUGCUAAGUGUUAGGGGGGUUUCCGCCCCCUUAGUGCUGCAGCUAACGCAUUAA